AUUGAACGCUGGCGGCAUGCCUUACACAUGCAAGUCGAACGGCAGCACGGGUGCUUGCACCUGGUGGCGAGUGGCGAACGGGUGAGUAAUACAUCGGAACAUGUCCUGUAGCGGGGGAUAGCCCGGCGAAAGCCGGAUUAAUACCGCAUACGAUCUACGGAUGACAGCGGGGGACCUUCGGGCCUCGCGCUAUAGGGUUGGCCGAUGGCUGAUUAGCUAGUUGGUGGGGUAAAGGCCUACCAAGGCGACGAUCAGUAGCUGAUCUGAGAGGACGACCAGCCACACUGGGAGGGAGACACGGCCCAGACUCCUACGGGAGGCAGCAGUGGGGAAUUUUGGACAAAGGGCGAAAGCCUGAUCCAGCAAUGCCGCGUGUGUGAAGAAGGCCUUCGGGUUGUAAAGCACUUUUGUCCGGAAAGAAAUCCUUUGCUCUAAUACAGUCGGGGGAUGACGGUACCGGAAGAAUAAGCACCGGCUAACUACGUG
rnacentral:rRNA from 1 species